GGAUGUGGAGGUGUCUGGCUGCGACAUCUAUCACCCCACUGAUCACCAGGGAGGAUGUGGCUGGCUAGGCAGUGUCCCCUUCCUCCCUCACUGCUCCACGUGCUUCCCUCCCAAAGCUGUGUGCUCAGUUGAAGAUGACCACCCCCGACAGAGGAGGACCAUUUCUUCAGUCACCGGCAUAUGAGUAGUUGUGCUCCCUUGCUAGAACCUCCAAACAAGCUCUCAAAGAUAAAGUGAGAUAGCUUAGAUAUAAGCAUCAAAAAAUCUUGAGCAACAGGGCUGGAGAUUUGGCUCAGUGGU
ensembl:misc_RNA 7SK 7SK RNA